rnacentral:rRNA from 1 species
AAAUUGAAGAGUUUGAUCAUGGCUCAGAUUGAACGCUGGCGGCAGGCCUAACACAUGCAAGUCGAGCGGUAGCACAGAGAGCUUGCUCUCGGGUGACGAGCGGCGGACGGGUGAGUAAUGUCUGGGAAACUGCCUGAUGGAGGGGGAUAACUACUGGAAACGGUAGCUAAUACCGCAUAACGUCGCAAGACCAAAGUGGGGGACCUUCGGGCCUCAUGCCAUCAGAUGUGCCCAGAUGGGAUUAGCUGGUAGGUGGGGUAACGGCUCACCUAGGCGACGAUCCCUAGCUGGUCUGAGAGGAUGACCAGCCACACUGGAACUGAGACACGGUCCAGACUCCUACGGGAGGCAGCAGUGGGGAAUAUUGCACAAUGGGCGCAAGCCUGAUGCAGCCAUGCCGCGUGUGUGAAGAAGGCCUUCGGGUUGUAAAGCACUUUCAGCGGGGAGGAAGGCGAUAAGGUUAAUAACCUUGUCGAUUGACGUUACCCGCAGAAGAAGCACCGGCUAACUCCGUGCCAGCAGCCGCGGUAAUACGGAGGGUGCAAGCGUUAAUCGGAAUUACUGGGCGUAAAGCGCACGCAGGCGGUCUGUCAAGUCGGAUGUGAAAUCCCCGGGCUCAACCUGGGAACUGCAUUCGAAACUGGCAGGCUAGAGUCUUGUAGAGGGGGGUAGAAUUCCAGGUGUAGCGGUGAAAUGCGUAGAGAUCUGGAGGAAUACCGGUGGCGAAGGCGGCCCCCUGGACAAAGACUGACGCUCAGGUGCGAAAGCGUGGGGAGCAAACAGGAUUAGAUACCCUGGUAGUCCACGCUGUAAACGAUGUCGAUUUGGAGGUUGUGCCCUUGAGGCGUGGCUUCCGGAGCUAACGCGUUAAAUCGACCGCCUGGGGAGUACGGCCGCAAGGUUAAAACUCAAAUGAAUUGACGGGGGCCCGCACAAGCGGUGGAGCAUGUGGUUUAAUUCGAUGCAACGCGAAGAACCUUACCUGGUCUUGACAUCCACAGAACUUAGCAGAGAUGCUUUGGUGCCUUCGGGAACUGUGAGACAGGUGCUGCAUGGCUGUCGUCAGCUCGUGUUGUGAAAUGUUGGGUUAAGUCCCGCAACGAGCGCAACCCUUAUCCUUUGUUGCCAGCGGUUAGGCCGGGAACUCAAAGGAGACUGCCAGUGAUAAACUGGAGGAAGGUGGGGAUGACGUCAAGUCAUCAUGGCCCUUACGACCAGGGCUACACACGUGCUACAAUGGCAUAUACAAAGAGAAGCGACCUCGCGAGAGCAAGCGGACCUCAUAAAGUAUGUCGUAGUCCGGAUUGGAGUCUGCAACUCGACUCCAUGAAGUCGGAAUCGCUAGUAAUCGUAGAUCAGAAUGCUACGGUGAAUACGUUCCCGGGCCUUGUACACACCGCCCGUCACACCAUGGGAGUGGGUUGCAAAAGAAGUAGGUAGCUUAACCUUCGGGAGGGCGCUUACCACUUUGUGAUUCAUGACUGGGGUGAAGUCGUAACAAGGUAACCGUAGGGGAACCUGCGGUUGGAUCACCUCCUUA